GACGAACGCUGGCGGCGUGCUUAAUACAUGCAAGUCGAGCGAACAGAUAAGGCGCUUGCUCCUUUGACGUUAGCGGCGGACGGGAGAGUAACACGUGGGUCACCUAUCUAUAAGACUGGAAUAACUUCGGGAAACCUGGGCUAAUGCCGGAUAACAUGUUGAACCGCAUGGUUCUACAGUGAAAGGCGGCUUUGUUGUCACUUAUAGUUGCACCUGCGCCGUAUUAGCUAGUUGUUGGGGUAACGGCUCACCAAGGCAACGAUACGUAGACGACCUGAGCGGGUGAUUGGCCACACUAGAGGGUGAACACGGACCAGAGUCCUGCGAGAGGGAGCAGAAGGGAAUCUGCCGCAGUGGGCGAAAGUCUGACGGAGUGGGGGCGAGUGUGUGAUGAAGAUGUCCGGAUCGUAAAACUCGGUUAUUGGGGAAGAACAAAUGCGUAAGGAACUGUGCGGGUCUUGACGGUACCUGCUCAGGAAGCCACGGCUAACUACGUG
rnacentral:rRNA from 1 species